rnacentral:tRNA from 1 species
GGUAGCAUGGCCGAGCGGUCUAAGGCGCUGGUUUAAGGCACCAGUCAUUUCGAUGGCGUGGGUUCGAACCCCACUGCUGCCA